rnacentral:rRNA from 1 species
CUACGGGGGGCAGCAGUGGGGAAUAUUGCACAAUGGAGGAAACUCUGAUGCAGCAACGCCGCGUGGAGGAUGACACUUUUCGGAGCGUAAACUCCUUUUAUAUAGGAAGAAGAUGACGGUACUAUAUGAAUAAGCGCCGGCUAACUCCGUGCCAGCAGCCGCGGUAAUACGGAGGGCGCAAGCGUUACUCGGAAUCACUGGGGCGUAAAGAGCGUGUAGGCGGAUUAAAAAGUCAGAAGUGAAAUCCUAUAGCUUAACUAUAGAACUGCUUCUGAAACUCUUAAUCUAGAAUAUGGGAGAGGUAGAUGGAAUUUCUGGUGUAGGGGUAAAAUCCGUAGAGAACAGAAGGAAUACCGAUUGCGAAGGCGAUCUACUAGAACAUUAUUGACGCUGAGACGCGAAAGCGUGGGGAGCAAACAGGAUUAGAUACCCCUGUAGUC